rnacentral:rRNA from 1 species
UAAGGUUAAGUUAAUAAGGGCGCACGGUGGAUGCCUUGGCACUAGAAGCCGAAGAAGGACGUGACUAACGACGAAAUGCUUUGGGGAGCUGUAAGUAAGCGCUGAUCCAGAGAUGUCCGAAUGGGGGAACCCACUAGUUAAUGACUAGUAUCCAUAUCUGUUAAGGAUAUGAGAAGGAAGACGCAGUGAACUGAAACAUCUAAGUAGCUGCAGGAAGAGAAAGCAAAAGCGAUUGCCUUAGUAGCGGCGAGCGAAACGGCAGGAGGGCAAACCGAAGUGUUUACACUUCGGGGUUGUAGGACUGCGAUAUAGGAUUAAUCAUUAUAGAAGAAUUACCUGGGAAGGUAAGCCAAAGAGAGUAACAGCCUCGUAUUUAAAAUGAUAGAUUAACCUUAGCAGUAUCCUGAGUACGGCGAGACACGCGAAAUCUCGUCGGAAUCUGGGAGGACCAUCUCCCAACCCUAAAUACUCUCUAGUGACCGAUAGUGAACCAGUACCGUGAGGGAAAGGUGAAAAGCACCCCGGGAGGGGAGUGAAAUAGAACCUGAAACCGUGUGCCUACAACAAGUUCGAGCCCGUUAAUGGGUGAGAGCGUGCCUUUUGUAGAAUGAACCGGCGAGUUACGAUAUGAUGCGAGGUUAAGUUGAAGAGACGGAGCCGUAGGGAAACCGAGUCUUAAUAGGGCGCCAUAGUAUCAUGUUGUAGACCCGAAACCAUGUGACCUACCCAUGAGCAGGUUGAAGGUGAGGUAAAACUCACUGGAGGACCGAACCAGGGCACGUUGAAAAGUGCUUGGAUGACUUGUGGGUAGCGGAGAAAUUCCAAACGAACUUGGAGAUAGCUGGUUCUCUCCGAAAUAGCUUUAGGGCUAGCGUCGAUGUUAAGUCUCUUGGAGGUAGAGCACUGUUUGGGUGAGGGGUCCAUCCCGGAUUACCAAUCUCAGAUAAACUCCGAAUGCCAACGAGAUAUAAUCGGCAGUCAGACUGCGAGUGCUAAGAUCCGUAGUCGAAAGGGAAACAGCCCAGACCACCAGCUAAGGUCCCAAAAUAUAUGUUAAGUGGAAAAGGAUGUGGGGUUGCACAGACAACUAGGAUGUUAGCUUAGAAGCAGCUAUUCAUUCAAAGAGUGCGUAAUAGCUCACUAGUCGAGUGACCCUGCGCCGAAAAUGUACCGGGGCUAAAACAUAUUACCGAAGCUGUGGAUGACACAAAAGUGUCAUGGUAGGAGAGCGUUCUAUGUGUGAAGAAGGUGUACCGUGAGGAGCGCUGGAACGCAUAGAAGUGAGAAUGCCGGUAUGAGUAGCGCAAGACAGGUGAGAAUCCUGUCCACCGUAAGACUAAGGUUUCCAGGGGAAGGCUCGUCCGCCCUGGGUUAGUCGGGACCUAAGGAGAGACCGAAAGGUGUAUCCGAUGGACAACAGGUUGAUAUUCCUGUACUAGAGUAUAUAGUGAUGGAGGGACGCAGUAGGCUAACUAAACCAGACGAUUGGAAGUGUCUGGUCAAACAGUGAGGUGUGAUAUGAGUCAAAUGCUUAUAUCUUUAACAUUGAGCUGUGACGAGGAGCGAAGUUUAGUAGCGAAGUUAGUGAUGUCACACUGCCAAGAAAAGCUUCUAGCGAUACAUAUACUCUACCCGUACCGCAAACCGACACAGGUAGUCGAGGCGAGUAGCCUCAGGUGAGCGAGAGAACUCUCGUUAAGGAACUCGGCAAAAUGGCCCCGUAACUUCGGGAGAAGGGGCGCUGAUUUUAGAUCAGCCGCAGUGAAUAGGCCCAAGCAACUGUUUAUCAAAAACACAGCUCUCUGCUAAAUCGUAAGAUGAUGUAUAGGGGGUGACGCCUGCCCGGUGCUGGAAGGUUAAGAGGAGUGCUUAGCGUAAGCGAAGGUAUGAAUUGAAGCCCCAGUAAACGGCGGCCGUAACUAUAACGGUCCUAAGGUAGCGAAAUUCCUUGUCGGGUAAGUUCCGACCCGCACGAAAGGCGUAAUGAUUUGGGCACUGUCUCAACGAGAGACUCGGUGAAAUUUUAGUACCUGUGAAGAUGCAGGUUACCCGCGACAGGACGGAAAGACCCCAUGGAGCUUUACUGCAGUUUGAUAUUGAGUAUCUGUACCACAUGUACAGGAUAGGUAGGAGCCUAUGAUAACGGGACGCCAGUUUCGUUUGAGGCGUUGUUGGGAUACUACCCUUGUGUUAUGGCUACUCUAACCCAGAUAGGCAAUCCCUAUCGGAGACAGUGUCUGACGGGCAGUUUGACUGGGGCGGUCGCCUCCU